rnacentral:rRNA from 1 species
AACGAACGCUGGCGGCAGGCCUUAUACAUGCAAGUCGAGCGCAUCUUUCGGGAUGAGCGGCGGACGGGUGAGUAACGCGUGGGAAUGUGCCCUUCUCUACGGAAUAGCCACUGGAAACGGUGAGUAAUACCGUAUACGCCCUUAGGGGGAAAGAUUUAUCGGAGAAGGAUCAGCCCGCGUUAGAUUAGGUAGUUGGUGGGGUAACGGCCUACCAAGCCUACGAUCUAUAGCUGGUUUUAGAGGAUGAUCAGCCACACUGGGACUGAGACACGGCCCAGACUCCUACGGGAGGCAGCAGUAGGGAAUCUUGGACAAUGGGGGAAACCCUGAUCCAGCCAUGCCGCGUGAGUGAAGAAGGCCUUAGGGUCGUAAAGCUCUUUCGCCUGUGAUGAUAAUGACAGUAGCAGGUAAAGAAACCCCGGCUAACUCCGUGCCAGCAGCCGCGGUAAUACGGAGGGGGUUAGCGUUGUUCGGAAGUACUGGGCGUAAAGCGCGCGUAGGCGGAUUGGAAAGUUGGGGGUGAAAUCCCGGGGCUCAACCCCGGAACUGCCUCCAAAACUGCCAGUCUAGAGUUCGAGAGAGGUGAGUGGAACUCCAAGUGUAGAGGUGAAAUUCGUAGAUAUUUGGAAGAACACCAGUGGCGAAGGCGGCUCACUGGCUCGAUACUGACGCUGAGGUGCGAAAGUGUGGGGAGCAAACAGGAUUAGAUACCCUGGUAGUCCACACCGUAAACGAUGAAUGCCAGUCGUCGGGUAGUAUACUAUUCGGUGACACACCUAACGGAUUAAGCAUUCCGCCUGGGGAGUACGGUCGCAAGAUUA